CAGGGGCUGGGCCAGUGGGCAAUGCAUGGUUGACCCUGGGUGGCAGCCAGCUCGGAGUCUUAGCUACACAUCGUGGAAUGCAAACUUCCUUGCCAGACUCCUCCUGGAGCCUGAACUGGGGCACCGGCCCUGUGGGGUGGGGUGUGGAGUUGCAGAGUGGGAGGGAGAUGGCCCUGAGCCUGAGUUAGAGGCAGGCAUGGUUGGGGACACCACUGCAGGCUGGGAGAAAAGGAAGCUGGGAGCCCCCACCUCUGCCCCAGAUCAAGAACUACACAGAAACCCCUCUAGGCACCCAACAUACCCAACUAGAUGAAGCCCAGCCAGUUGUUUUCCUGGCUUAGGGGUGCAGUGUGGGGGUGCUGGCCUGGUGGAGGUGGUAGAGGAUCGAGAAGGGCUGUGUAUCCUGCAGAGCAGCUGUGAAGUUGGGAGCCAGUGAGCAGUUUAUAAAGGAGACGGAUUAUUUCCCCAACACAGCCUGACACUCUGCCACAGCUCAGACCCCUCCUGGGGGCCAGAAAAGAGUGUUCACCCAUGAACCAUCUUCCUCUGGACCUAUCUACCAUCUGAGAACCACCCUUAGACCCAGGUUACCAUGGCUUCUGCCCUCCACCGGGUACUAUGGAGGGCCCUGGUCUGCCCUCUCUCUGGGGCAAGAAGUCAGUAGGAUGAGGGGGACAUGCCCCCAGAGGGCACACCACGUCCCUCGAGACCCUGCCUAAAUGGCCCUGAGCCCGCUUCAAGGGCUUCUUCCCUGGCCAGUCCUCCUGAGGGGGGCACACAUCUGUGAGUCCAUGGGGACAAAGGGGCGGCUGUUCAUGGGCCAGGAUGAAGGAUGGAGGUUUAUGGGCCUGGAUGGAACUUUGGAGGUUCAGGCUGAGGUCCUUAAUGAUAGGGAAGGAGCCAAGUGGGUAGAGAAGGGGGUGUGGAGCUCCGUUUGCACUCUUGUGGCAGGCCUAACACCCCACACCCCACAACCCUUUGGCCUAACAUCAUCUGCACAAACCAGCCAAAAGCCAAUCAUGGCUGCCUUGCCUGACUCACCCUACAGAGCUCAGAUUCCACCCCUAAAAGGUGCCUGGGCCUUGAGUUUAGAGAAGAGUUCCUGCAGCAGCGGGCUGGGUGGAAAGGAGAGAUGGGGCUGACUCCAGCUGCCUCUCCAGCAGCAAGGACUAAGGGAAGGGUGCAGGGCAGGCGAGGCCUCCUGCCUGAGCCUAGGGAUGCCUCUUCUGGCAGAGCCAGGCCUGUCUGACUCAGAGGGUGGGGUGACCCAGGCAGCUCUCACCGCCCAGGGCACCCCUGGGGACCUGUUGGGCCAGUUUUCCUGUAUUUGCCACACUGACAUUUAAUUUUUAAUUCCUCAUAUGCAUCACCCUGGAGAUGGCUUGAUUCAGACUGGGGAGGGCAAGAAAGAGAACCCCAGAAAAUACAACCCUGCUGCCACCCAAUGUUCUAUGGACCCAGCUCUCAGAAGCAGAGGGACAGGCCAGGCGCGGUGGUGCACACCUGUAAUCCCAGCACUUCGGGAGGCCGAGGUGGGCGGAUCAUGAGGUCAGGUGAUAGAGAGACCAUCCUGGCUAAUACAGUGAAACCCUAUCUCUACUAAAAAUACAAAAAAUUAGCCCUGCGUGGUGGCGGGCGCCUGUAGUCCCAGCUACUCAGGAGGCUGAGGCAGGAGAGAUGCGUGAACCCGGGAGGCGGAGCUUGUGCCACUGCACUCCAGCCUGGGUGACAGAGCAAGACUCCGUCUCAAAAAAAAAAAAAAGAAAAAAA
ensembl:lncRNA